CCUACGGGCGGCAGCAGUGGGGGAUAUUGCACAAUGGGGGGAACCCUGAUGCAGCGACGCCGCGUGGGUGAAGGAGCGUUUCGGCGCGUAAAGCCCUAUCGGCAGGGAAGACGAUGACGGUACCUGGCCAAGAAGCCCCGGCUAACUACGUGCCAGCAGCCGCGGUAAUACGUAGGGGGCAAGCGUUAUCCGGCUUUACUGGGUGUAAAGGGGGCGCAGACGGCAAUGCAAGCCAGGAGUGAAAGCCCGGGGCCCAACCCCGGGACUGCUCUUGGAACUGCAUGGCUGGAGUACAGGAGGGGCAGGCGGAAUUCCUAGUGUAGCGGUGAAAUGCGUAGAUAUUAGGAGGAACACCGGUGGCGAAGGCGGCCUGCUGGACUGUGACUGACGUUGAGGCCCGAAGGCGUGGGGAGCAAACAGGAUUAGAUACCCCAGUAGUC
rnacentral:rRNA from 1 species